rnacentral:lncRNA from 1 species
AGUGGGAGUAUUAUAAACUACUAAUUCAUAUUAAACUUGGACCAAUGGUUGUGAUAGGCCCAAGUUCUUUUAAUGUGAUUAAAAUGUUUUGAUGUAGCCCAAAACUACUCCCUCAAAACGAAUAUUAAGUUGAUAAGCGAGAGAUGCUUUGAACAUCUCUUCGUAGGCCUUCCACCAUGGUGGGAUCCAAUCGUUUGUGACUCAUGCACCGGCUUCACCCUAUAAUGGGGAAGUUCAAAGUAUGUGCUUACAUCCAGGAGGAACCCAUAAACAUAUGAUGAGGUGAGUGUAGACAACGAGUAUGACCAACAUGAUAUAAUUCUGAGGUUGUGCGUGAACCUCUACAUAAACUAAGCAUGGUGGGAAUGACUUAACUAAGUGCAAUGGUGCCAACAUGAUAUAAUUCUGAGGUAAUCAUUCUCUAGAGGCCAAACAAGAUGGGUAAUUACAAGAGUUGUAAAUGAAUAAUGCGUUAUUCUCUCAUCAUUAUUUUUGCUAACCAACAUGAUAUAAUUCUGAGGUGGGCUUGGUAAUGGUGAGUCUCCCAUACCCUGCUAAGAGUUCAAUAUACUCUCGAAUUCUAUUGAGGGAUGUGGAAUUUGCCAAAAAUAGUGGGUGGUACUAUUUGAUUCUAAGACCCAAUCAAAUAGUUUUAAACAAACAAUCUAAUACGAUUUCUGUUAUGUUAUGUAGUUAACGACAUGCCUAAAAUUAUAACCACCAUUGUACUUGACAAAAUGGGCCUUAAGGGCCAACGUUUCCUUGCUUGGUAUCGCCAUAUUGAGAAUGUCUCAAAGGUGAAAGACAUAUUG